GCUGAACAGUCGCAGGGUGAGGGAGAGUUUGUGCAGGCACGGAUCCAGUAUCCACUCAGGAAAUGCUGAACUGUGGCAAUAACUGAGCUAUUCUGAGAAGCAGAAGAAAAACGUUCAGUGGCUUUCUGAACUCUGUUCUGUGAACUCUGAGGCCUCGCACUGGGGAGAUAACAUUUAAAAAUAAAUAAACAAAAAUGCCAUCGAGGAUCGCUUUCUGCGACACUUCAAAAGCUGUUGGCACUUUAAGGCUGCUCAGAAUGGACAAAUAUGGCCUGUUCACUCGAAAACUUGAGAGAUUCCUCCAGGAAAGCCGAGGGCUCUGCACAGCACUGCAGCAGAACAUAAGUCACAGUCUAACCGAGUCGACACCCGUCACAGAGCAAAUUAGCCCACUUGAGCUGAUCAAAGAAACUGCUGCGGACAUUUCUCGAAUCUUCCACCACAAUAACACAAUUUCUGUGAGCUGAGAUUCAGGCUACGUGCGGUACCCUAAAGCAACAUGUUUUUCAUCAGGAUGGUGGUUACUCCUCAUCCUAGUUUAAAAGUUGGGCUGUUGUACCCUCGAAAAACAUCUAGGUCACAUCUGGCAACUUUUCAGAUGCUGGGAAUCCCUCGCAAAUAUGUUUCGGGGCUAGUAGCACACGUUAAAAAGCUCUGAGAGCUGGUGCAGCUCCUCUUCCCUCCAUUUUUCCCAUUAAUCGGCCAGCCUGCCAGCAUUCCUGGCUCUCAAAGGAACCACGCUGUCCUACUGAACUUCAGACAAGCAGUGAAAGCGUAGCAGAGUUGGGGCGGGCAGGCGAAUGAAAGAGAGGCUGACAAAAACUGAGUAAAAGGGCGAGGGGAAAAAAAAAGCAUCUACAGUUUGUCACCGCCGACCAGACAAGGACAGCUGGCAAGGAGGCCACUGAGCUAAGAGACAGAGAGGGCUCCUCUGUACUGACAUCAACAUGCUUCACACACCGACGGCUGAGACACUGCAGCUGCUCAGUCCAGUCUGUGUGUGUGUGUGUGUGUGUGUGUGUGUGUGUGUGUGUGUGUGUGUGUGUGUGUGUGUGUGUGUGUGUGUGUGUGUGUGUGUGUGUGUGUGUGUGUGUGUGGGGCGGGGUGAUGACAGGAGGCAGAAAAUAAGAUGUGAAGCCUUUAGGAAGAGUAGAAAAACAGAAAUUCAUAGUAAAGUCAAACAGAGAUAAAUGAUUUCUGUUCUUUUUCAUCCGUCUGUGGAAGAUCACGGUGAACUGUGAUCAUAACAGCAGGUAUCCUCGUGCGAUGAUACUUAAGCAUCAAAACACUCCAAAAAACACCCAAUUUAGUUAGAAUGUAGGAAAAGUUGCAAACUAAAAAAAAAAAAAAAAAAAGAAGAAGAGAGGGUAAGUGUAGAUUCUGAAGGGUAUCGCUUCAUUUUUUGUCGUCAUGUGACGGCAUGACUUGGCUCUAGAAGCUUCUAGCUUUGGUCAUUUUUUUCCCCCGGUUCUGCUUUCCAAAACCUUCACAUCAUUUUCUUUUCUUGUACCAGCAGACUUUGGAUUCCAGACAAAGCGUAGCGCGGCUUGUUUUCUCUUCGCGGCACCCCGUGGCGCACGUCGAACCAAUUCUAAACUGGGCAGCAGUGCAGACGGUGAAGGUUUAUUUGUAAAACUGACUAAUUAUGGCUUUUUUAAAAAGGCUGAUUAAACUCAACUUAAGAGGCUGCUGUUUUUGGAGCGCUGCGAGUGAACUUAACAAGAUCCAGGAGGUUAAAAUACAAUGUGGCAUAAGAACGCACAGUGAAGGCAGAAAUUUGUACUAAAAUGAAUACAGAUGUGAAACAUGCACAUGAACUGAUGAUGGAUUCUAAUAUAAUUAGAUCAAAGACAAAGCAAUAUACUGAACAUUAGGGAAUCGAGAACCGAUUCUUGUAGAGAACUGAUUUCUAGUAGUUUCAUUCCUUGGAAUUUUUAGUCUUGUCCUUUAUAAAUUUUAUUUACAAAGGACAAGAGCACAAUGGUAACGUGGAAACUGCAUCCAAGACAGAAACAGCUGCAUUUUGUUGCUAACACAACUUUGGGUCUUUGCAAGCACCUGCACAGACAGCAUGCUAAAGCUAAACUAGCCAAGAACCCAGAGUGACAUUAGCUGACUGACUGCUAACCCCAGCCCAGCAGCCAGACGCUCCAGAUACCUCCAACAUGCACAAACAUUUGAACCACAGCGUGUAAUGAAUUUGUACAAAUGUAAUGUUUUUGUUAUGAUUCUUAGCGAUGGUAGUGUCUCUGAGAGCAGAGCCAAUGAGAACCCACUGAGAAUCGAUAAGGAAUCGAAUCAAUAAGAGAUACUGACAAUGGAAUUGCCAAAUUCUAAUGAAUUCCUGUCUUUAUUCACCAUCAUUACUUAACUUUUUAUAUUGGCCUUCAUUAUUUGUCUAAUCUUUUCUAAAAGUAGACCUAAUAAGAUUCUGACCAUAAGAAGAUUCGACUGGUUCUUUUGUCCAACCAACUACUGUCCAAAAAUGUCACUGAAAAAUAUUUCCAAGAGAGAAAAGCAGCAAAUCCUCAAAGCUGAAACCAGCAAAUGACUGGUAUUUUCCUCUCAUCAACACUGUUGAAUAAAUUAAUAGAUCGCCUAAUUGUUUGAGUGUUUAUCCAAUCAAUGAUUGGAAUCAAAACAAAUGACGCAGAUGAAUGCAAACAAAGCUGAACAAUUUAAAUUUCCCUGCAAAUCUCUUCUUUCUUCCGGACUCAUCAGCUUUAAGAGUUUAUUUGCCCUUCAAGCAGGAAGGCUGAAGCCGCCUGGAGGCCAACAGCGGCCAAAUUCUGCUCUCGUAUCGAGCUGCUUCCUGUGAAUGAAUCCGACUGUGUGAAUGUGAGGGAAGGAAAAAAAAAAGAAACGUGUUUCCAGUCAACCGUAAAAUGGUGGAAAAGGUAUUUCAAAGUAGCUUGCUACUACAGGUCACUGCACCUUCGAUUACUGCAGGAGGGAGAGAGAGAGAGGGAGGGAGUGUAUGUGUGUGUGUGUGUGUGUGUGUGUGUGUGUGCGUGCGUGUGCGUGUGUGUGUAAAAGCAUAGGUCUCAGCUGACUGAAGGUGUGUAAACUGUACAAACACUGGCCAGAGCUGGACUUGACUUGUUUGGACGCUAAGAGAGACACAGUACACCAAACUGUGCUGCCUUACAAAGCUAUCAGGAAUGUGUUCUGUUACAUGCAUGUCACAAAAACAGAAUACACAAAAAAAAAUAAUAAAAUAACUACUCAUAUUUUUUGCAGGAUUCAAGAAAAUAAAAUAAAGCCAAGUAUAUACCACUGUGCUCCAGUCACCUCUGCCUUCUUUCUGCUCCCAUACUGGGAUCUGUAACACUGUAGUGGAAAGAGACUGCUGAUAGCAUCACUAACUACUGCUGCAUCACCACUGCAUGUGCACGCGCGUGUACGUGUGAAGAGUUACUGCAUCUUCACUCUUAUCCAUCUGCUGCCAACACUGCAUGCGGUCCUGCAGCAACAACACCGACUUGUCUUUCCUGCCUCUCCUCUUAUACUGAAGACAUGCUUUUUCCUCUCUGACGCUCCUUGCCUCUUUAUCUAUUUGACUUCCACUCUCGUGUCUCAUGCAGUCAAUGACAGCGUGGAGCUUGUUCGGAGUCGCUAAAUUUGCAUGGAGCAGUCUUGACCUCAGCUCUGUGUAAAUGAGUUUGAGCAGCACAGGACAUCUUGUUCACAUUUCUUGCCUUAAAUGAUUUUAAAAGCUGGACAAUGCAAGUUUUUUGCAAAUGUGAGCUUCCCAUUACUGCAGCUCCCAAUCAGGUCUUAACUGCCUUCUUCCUCUCUGCCCUUAACUACCUCUCUCCCAUUUUCUCCCCUCCUGCUCCUUGUUUUCUCCUCCCACCCGUCCCUUCCCUACAAAACACCACGUCUUUCAUUUCCAUCACUUUCUCUUCUCUAAAUUUAACCUCCUCCUCUCUCCCCUCAUUACCCUUGUGAUAUCACCCUGAUGGCCAGCUUCUUCAGAAACACCCAGCCCCUUCUCUGAUAUUUCCACCCUUAUGCCUUUAUUA